rnacentral:rRNA from 1 species
GAUGAACGCUGGCGGCGUGCCUAACACAUGCAAGUCGAGCGAUCUUCUUCGGAAGAGAGCGGCGGACGGGUGAGUAACGCGUGGGUAACCUGCCUCAUACACAUGGAUAACAUACCGAAAGGUAUGCUAAUACAAGAUGAUAUAAGAGAUUCGCAUGGAUUUCUAUCAAAGCUUUUGCGGUAUGAGAUGGACUCGCGUCUGAUUAGCUAGUUGGUAAGGUAAUGGGCUUACCAAGGCGACGAUCAGUAGCCGACCUGAGAGGGUGAUCGGCCACAUUGGAACUGAGACACGGUCCAAA